UCAAAAGGUAGUUUAAUAAAAAUAUUAACUUUGGAAGUUAAAGAUGUUCAUUACUCUUUUGAA
rnacentral:tRNA from 1 species